rnacentral:rRNA from 1 species
UACGUAGGUGGCAAGCGUUGUCCGGAAUUAUUGGGCGUAAAGCGCGCGCAGGCGGCCCAGCAAGUCGGGUGUGAAAGCCCUCGGCUCAACCGAGGAAGUGCAUUCGAAACUACUGGGCUUGAAUACUGGAGAGGAUCGCGGAAUUCCCGGUGUAGAGGUGAAAUUCGUAGAUAUCGGGAGGAACACCAGUGGCGAAGGCGGCGAUCUGGACAGAUAUUGACGCUGAGGUGCGAAAGCGUGGGGAGCAAACAGG